rnacentral:rRNA from 1 species
AUUGAACGCUGGCGGCAGGCUUAACACAUGCAAGUCGAGCGGAAACGAUGAUAGCUUGCUAUCAGGCGUCGAGCGGCGGACGGGUGAGUAAUACUUAUGAAUCUACCUAGUAGUGGGGGAUAGCACGGGGAAACUCGUAUUAAUACCGCAUACGACCUACGGGAGAAAGGGGGCAGUUUACUGCUCUCGCUAUUACAUGAGCCUAAGUCGGAUUAUCUAGAUGGUGGGGUAAAGGCCUACCAUGGCGACGAUCUGUAGCUGGUCUGAGAAGAUGAUCAGCCGCACCGGGACUGAGACACGGACCGGACUCCUACAGGAGGCAGCAAUGGGGAAUAUUGGACAAUGGGGGAAACCCUGAUCCACCCAUGCCGCGUGUGUGAAGAAGGCCUUUUGGUUGUAAAGCACUUUAAGCAGUGAAGAAGACUCCGUGGUUAAUACCCACGGACGAUGACAUUAGCUGCAGAAUAAGCACCGGCUAACUCUGUGCCAGCAGCCGCGGUAAUACAGAGGGUGCAAGCGUUAAUCGGAAUUACUGGACGUAAAGGGAGCGUAGGUGGCUCUAUAAGUCAGAUGUGAAAUCCCCGGGCUUAACCUGGGAACUGCAUCUGAAACUGUAGAGCUAGAGUAUGUGAGAGGAAGGUAGAAUUCCUGGUGUAGCGGUGAAAUGCGUAGAGAUCUGGAGGAAUACCGAUGGCGAAGGCAGCCUUCUGGCAUAAUACUGACACUGAGGCUCGAAAGCGUGGGUAGCAAACAGGAUUAGAUACCCUGGUAGUCCACGCCGUAAACGAUGUCCACUAGUCGUUGGGUCCCUUGAGGACUUAGUGACGCAGCUAACGCAAUAAGUAGCCCGCCUGGGGAGUACGGCCGCAAGGUUAAAACUCAAAUGAAUUGACGGGGGCCCGCACAAGCGGUGGAGCAUGUGGUUUAAUUCGAUGCAACGCGAAGAACCUUACCUGGUCUUGACAUAUCUAGAAUCCUGCAGAGAUGCGGGAGUGCCUUCGGGAAUUAGAAUACAGGUGCUGCAUGGCUGUCGUCAGCUCGUGUCGUGAGAUGUUGGGUUAAGUCCCGCAACGAGCGCAACCCUUGUCCUUAGUUACCAGCGGGUUAAGCCGGGAACUCUAAGGAUACUGCCAGUGACAAACUGGAGGAAGGCGGGGACGACGUCAAGUCAUCAUGGCCCUUACGACCAGGGCUACACACGUGCUACAAUGGUAGGUACAGAGGGCAGCUACACAGCGAUGUGAUGCGAAUCUCAAAAAGCCUAUCGUAGUCCAGAUUGGAGUCCGCAACUCGACUCCAUGAAGUAGGAAUCGCUAGUAAUCGCGGAUCAGAAUGCCGCGGUGAAUACGUUCCCGGGCCU